rnacentral:rRNA from 5 species
UCAGGUAGGGAUACCCGCUGAACUUAAGCAUAUCAAUAA